CGGGCCCGCACAAGCAGCGGAGCGUGUGGUUUAAUUCGAUGAUACACGAAGAACCUUACCAGGGUUUGACAUGCUAGUGGUAGGGAUCCGAAAGGUGACCGACCCCUCGGGGAGCUAGCACAGGUGCUGCAUGGCUGUCGUCAGCUCGUGUCGUGAGAUGUUCGGUUAAGUCCGCUAACGAGCGCAACCCUUGCUGUGUGUUACAUGUGUCACACGGGACUGCCGGUCUUAAACCGGAGGAAGGUGGGGAUGACGUCAAGUCAGCAUGGCCUUUAUGUCCUGGGCUACACACACGCUACAAUGGCCGGUACAAUAGGUUGCGAAGCCGCGAGGCGGAGCCAAUCCUCAAAGUCUGUCUCAGUUCAGAUUGUAGGCUGCAACUCGCCUGCAUGAAGUUGGAGUUGCUAGUAAACGCAGGUCAGCUAUACUGCGUUGAAUACGUUCCCGGGGUUU
rnacentral:rRNA from 1 species